UACGAAGGGGGCUAGCGUUGCUCGGAAUCACUGGGCGUAAAGCGCACGUAGGCGGACUCUUAAGUCGGUGGUGAAAUCCUGGAGCUCAACUCCAGAACUGCCUUCGAUACUGGGAGUCUCGAGUCCGGGAGAGGUGAGUGGAACUCCGAGUGUAGAGGUGAAAUUCGUAGAUAUUCGCAAGAACACCAGUGGCGAAGGCGGCUCACUGGCCCGGUACUGACGCUGAGGUGCGAAAGCGUGGGGAGCAAACAGG
rnacentral:rRNA from 1 species